GGGGAACAGGUCGACAGAUAUUUGAUGUCAACUAGUGUUCUUCACCAACACUGAGCUGGUCAACCUGGGAAAGGUUUGAACCAGACCAUUGUUUGAGCAAUAAUUGAUUAUGCUGAGGCGAUUCAUGGGAAAAGUGGCCUGUCAGAAAUCAAGUUUUCAAUGAGGACAAAAAUCAGUGCUUUGGUCAGCUUGGCCAGGAGGAACUCAACCACAUAGAACAAAUGAGACAUUUCAACUUUUAAGAACUAUUAAUAUGAUUGUUUGUUGUAACUUUA